rnacentral:piRNA from 1 species
UGGAUGUGAGAUAGAUAGGAGAAGGAAGUC